UCAAAGGUCAGAAAACCCCUGGUGGAGAGCCAGAGAUAAAUGUUGAAGGCCGCUGUGCUCACUGGCCUGAUUUGGGUAUCUAAGGUUGGGGAAGGCAGCAGGGAGAGGAUGGUGACUGGAGGCUCACGUGUAGCUGUGGUGCUGCUGGCGCCGACGGGCAGAUCGCAUCUUCUCGAAGCGGGCUUCCAUCUCCUCCAGCACCCGAGGAGUGUAGCGCACCACCAGUUUCACUGAGCCCUGUGCAGCCUUCAGGAGUUCCACCGCCUUUUCAUGGUGUUCGCCUUCCACACUCUGCAGGGCAGGCCUCGCACAGACUGCUGGCCCAAACCGCUGCCCUUACCACCCUACCCAGGACAUGGGACCAGUGGAUAGUGACACGGCUGCUGGGGUCAAGUCUCCAAGGCCUCAUAUCCCUCUAGUGGAUCACCAACUUUAGGCACAGCACCCACAACCUAAAAACUGCAUGUCAAGAUAGCUUUGAGUCCCAGUGUCCUCAAUGAACCAGGCCACUGAACCUGUCCCAAAAAA
rnacentral:lncRNA from 1 species